AUUUUAUUAGUAUAAGAAGUAUGGUUGUUUUCCAAACAAUUGGUUUAAUAUAAAUAUGUUAAAUAAAAUA
rnacentral:tRNA from 1 species